rnacentral:rRNA from 1 species
UGGCGGCGUGCCUAAUACAUGCAAGUCGAGCGCGGGAAGCGGACAAUCACCCUUCGGGGUGUGCGUCCGUGGAACGAGCGGCGGAUGGGUGAGUAUCACGUGGGCAACCUGCCUGUAAGAUUGGGAUAACUCGCGGAAACGUGAGCUAAUACCGAAUGAAGUCUUUCACCGCCUGGUGAAAGGAUGAAAGAUGGCUCUUGAGCUAUCACUUACAGAUGGGCCCGCGGCGCAUUAGCUAGUUGGGUGGGGUAAAGGCCUACCAAGGCGACGAUGCGUAGCCGACCUGAGAGGGUGAUCGGCCACACUGGGACUGAGACACGGCCCAGACUCCUACGGGAGGCAGCAGUAGGGAAUCUUCCGCAAUGGACGAAAGUCUGACGGAGCAACGCCGCGUGAAGUGAUGAAGGUCUUCGGAUCGUAAAACUCUGUUGUCAGGGAAGAACAAGUUGUGUUCUAACAGGACAUGACCUUGACGGUACCUGACCAGAAAGCCCCGGCUAACUACGUGCCAGCCGCCGC